GCUUUGGUAGCUCAGCUGGGAGAGCGUUAGACUGAAGAUCUAAAGGUCACGUGUUCAAUCCACGUUCGAAGCA